GUAGGUGGCAAGCGUUGUCCGGAAUUAUUGGGCGUAAAGCGCGCGCAGGCGGUUCUUUAAGUCUGAUGUGAGAGCCCACGGCUCAACCGUGGAGGGUCAUUGGAAACUGGAGAACUUGAGUACAGAAGAGGAAAGCGGAAUUCCACGUGUAGCGGUGAAAUGCGUAGAGAUGUGGAGGAACACCAGUGGCGAAGGCGGCUUUCUGGUCUGUAACUGACGCUGAGGCGCGAAAGCGUGGGGGGAGCAAACAGGAUCAGAUACCCUGGUAGUCCACGCCGUAAACGAUGAGUGCAAGUGCUAGGGGGUUUCCCGCCCCUUAGUGCUGCAGCUAACGCAUUAAAGCACUCCGCCUGGGGAGUACGGCCGCAAGGCUG
rnacentral:rRNA from 1 species